GGCCAAUUGGUCUAGUGGUAUGAUUCGCGCUUCGGGUAAACCCCACAUUCUCAACGAAUGCUGUGCGAGGUCUCGGGUUCGAUCCCCGAAUUGGCCC